UUUCCGUAGGUGAACCUGCGGAAGGAUCAUUAAAAAAUAUCACAUUUUGUAUGUGAUUUAAUAAUCAUCCCUACCCUUUGUGAAUUUGUUUUUGUUUGAAAUUUAUGUUGUCUAUCCCUGGAUAUGAAAGAAAAGUCAUUAAGAUUUUUUUUCAUUCUAGAGAAUAGGCUUUCAUAGACAUUUUUUCAAAUUAAACUUUUUGUAUUCAUUUGUCUAAAAUUUAUUUUAAAUAAUUUAAAAACAACUUUGACAAUGGAUCUCUUGGUUCUCGCAACGAUGAAGAACGCAGCAAAAUGCGAUAAGUAAUGUGAAUUGCAGAAUACGUGAAUCAUCAAAUUUUCGAACGCAUAUUGCACUUUUUUAGUUUACUAAAAAAGUAUGUCUGUUUGAGUAUCAGUAAAAUAUUCUCAUAAAAACUAUUGUUUUUAUGGUUAUGAGUGUUUUACAACGAUAACAAGUUGUUUCACUUUAAAUUGAUUUUUUUUAAUAAGCCAAUUUGGUUUUAUUUUAAAAUUGGAUAAAAUUUUCCCGUAAAAAGGAAUAAACUUUCAGUUUUAAAGUUAAAACUUAAAUUGACCUACAAAAAAGGAAAUUUAAUUAUAAAACUAACUUGAUCUCAAAUCAGAUAAGAGUACCCGCUGAACUUAAGCAUAUCAAUAAGCGGAGGAAAAGAAACUAACAAGGAUUCCCUUAGUAACGGCGAGUGGAGCGGGAAGAGCUCAAAUUUGAAAUCUUCAAGGUUCUACCUUGACGAAUUGUAGUUUAAAGAAGUGUUUUCUGUUAGUGGAGUGGCAAAAGUUCUUUGGAAUAGGACAUCAUAGAGGGUGAGAAUCCCGUAUUUGGUCAUUCCUUCUAGCUUUGUGAUACACUUUCAAAGAGUCGGAUUGUUUGGGAAUGCAGUCCAAAAUGGGUGGUAAAUUUCAUCUAAAGCUAAAUAUUGGCGAGAGACCGAUAGCGAACAAGUACCGUGAGGGAAAGAUGAAAAGAACUUUGAAAAGAGAGUUAAACAGUACGUGAAAUUGUCAAAAGGGAAGCGUUUGACACCAGUGUUGUUUUUCCGAAAAUCAAUUAAAAUGUUUUGUUUCUGAGGAGUGAUGACUUCAUCGGCUUCCUUCUCUCUUCACGAAACUUUUGUAAUGCACUUCUCGGUUAACAAGUCAACAUCAAUUUCUUUUGUUGUAAAAGAGUAUUCGGAAGGUGGCUCUCUUUUCGGAGAAAGUGUUUAUAGCCUUUGGCCUCUGCAAUCGGAGAGACUGAGGUCUGCAGCGUAGAUCCUUCGGGGUUAGAUACAUUUGUGCUAAGUUAUAGCUUUUCAUAGACAACUUGUUAACUAUGUUUAGUCUUGUAGCUUACUCGCUUGUGCU
rnacentral:misc_RNA from 1 species